rnacentral:rRNA from 1 species
UUGUUGCUCGGCAGGUCUGCAACUUACCCUGAGGGGACCUACCCUGUAGGGACCUUACCCGGUAGUUGCGGGCAUAACCUGCCGGUGGUCUACUAAACUCUGUUUACUAUGUUAUUCUGAAUAAUAUAACUAAAUAAGUUAAAACUUUCAACAACGGAUCUCUUGGUUCUGGCAUCGAUGAAGAACGCAGCGAAAUGCGAUAAGUAAUGUGAAUUGCAGAAUUCAGUGAAUCAUCGAAUCUUUGAACGCACAUUGCGCCCAUUAGUAUUCUAGUGGGCAUGCCUGUUCGAGCGUCAUUUCAACCCUUAAGCCCUGUUGCUUAGCGUUGGGAGCCUACAGAUACCCUCUGUAGUUCCUUAAAGUUAGUGGCGGAGUCGGUUUCAAACUCUAGACGUAGUAAAUUUUAUCUCGCCUAUAGAUGAGCCGGUCCCUUGCCGUAAAACCCCCUAAUUUCUAAAGGUUGACCUCGGAUCAGGUAGGAAUACCCGCUGAACUUAAGCAUAUCAAUAGCGGG